UUAACAUCUAUUCCAGACGAAACAAUUCUGCAUACUAUAAAUGGCGAAGAUGCAGGAGUGGUCAAGCGUAGGUUUAGGUAUUUAGGGAGAUUGAGAAAGCAUUUUUGGUCCAGGUGGAGGAAGGAAUACUUAACAAGUUUAAGGGAGUGCCAUAAGGUUGGCAAAGUUAAGGGUAGUUUGUGUCCGAAAGUAGGUGAUAUAGUUCUUGUGUUUGAGGAAAGUUUGAAAAGAGGAUUUUGGAAAAUAGCAGCGAGAAUCGAGAGAUUGAUCAAGG